GCCGGGUGUGGUGGUGCACCCCUGUAAUUCCAGCUACUCGGGAGGCUGAGGCAGGAGAAUUGCUUGAACCCAGGAGGCAGAGGCUGCUGUGAGCCAAGAUGGUGUCACUGCGCUCCAGCCUGGGCAACAGAGCAAGAACCUGUCUCAA
rnacentral:SRP_RNA from 1 species